rnacentral:rRNA from 1 species
AGGAUAAACGCUGGCGGCGUGCAUGAGACAUGCAAGUCGAACGGACACUUGGGGCUUGCUCCAAGUGUUAGUGGCGGACGGCUGAGUAACGCGUAGGUGACCUGUCCCGAAGUGGGGAAUAACUGCCCGAAAGGGUGGCUAAUACCGCAUGUGGUGGUGUGUUCAUUCACACCAGUAAAGCCGCAAGGCGCUUCGGGAGGGGCCUGCGUCCGAUUAGCUCGUUGGUGGGGUAACGGCUCACCAAGGCGACGAUCGGUAGGUGGUCUGAGAGGACGAUCACCCAGACUGGGACUGAGACACGGCCCAGACUCCUACGGGAGGCAGCAGUCGGGAAUUUUGCGCAAUGGACGAAAGUCUGACGCAGCAACGCCGCGUGAGGGAUGAAGGCCUUCGGGUUGUAACCUCUUUUAUCAGGGAAGAUAAUGACGGUACCUGAUGAAUAAGUCACGGCUAACUACGUGCCAGCAGCCGC